AACGAACGCUGGCGGCAUGCCUAACACAUGCAAGUCGAACGAGACCUUCGGGUCUAGUGGCGCACGGGUGCGUAACACGUGGGAAUCUGCCCUUUGCUUCGGAAUAACAGUUAGAAAUGACUGCUAAUACCGGAUGAUGUCGAAAGACCAAAGAUUUAUCGGCAAAGGAUGAGCCCGCGUAGGAUUAGGUAGUUGGUGGGGUAAAGGCCUACCAAGCCGACGAUCCUUAGCUGGUCUGAGAGGAUGAUCAGCCACACUGGGACUGAGACACGGCCCAGACCAGGAGGGGAGGGAGGAGGGGGAAAGAAUCGACAGGGGAGGAAAUCAUGACGCAGAAGUGUGGAGUGGGUGGGGAGGGUGUUAGUGUUAUAAUGCGUUUUUACGAGAAAAGGUAAGGCAUGUCCAGGGAGACUACGCCCCGGCAAACCCCGGGACAGCGGACGCGGUAAGCAGAGGAAGAGCAAACGUCUUAAC
rnacentral:rRNA from 1 species